rnacentral:lncRNA from 1 species
GAGACAGCAGAGCCAGUUACAAAGCUGGAGGACUCGAAGCUCUCUGAGCAGCAGGCAAAGGACGAUAACAAACCUGAAAAUGUUGAUUUUUGUCGCUUAGGAGAAGAAUUCUGUCACUGGAUUUUUUGAACUUCUUAAUUCUCAGGAUCCUUUUCUGGGACCAUCUCAAGAUGAAUGGGGACCACAGCCCAGCUCAGGUUUUAUUUUAACGCCUCAGAACAAAACAUUGACAGACUACCAUGGAGCAGAAAUUGUGAGCCUUCACUUACUGUCAUUAGUUUAAGAGGAAUUUCUAUUUCCCAGUACCAACCUUGAUUCUCAAGGACUAAAAUGUGCGUCUUCUCCUUAUAGAUUAGUUAUGGUUGGCGUUGCAGGGACUGCCCACUGAGGAAAUUCUUGUUUGGGUGUAUGUGAACAAAUAUUUGGACUUAUCCGUAGAUCUUUUGUGGAAAAUACUUGGAAAACCAAAUUUAUCCACCUGAGAAUCGUUGGAGGAAGUUCCCUUGCUCCUGGAUCAUCACGGAAACCAUCUGUAACAUUUGAACAGAGUGAUCUGGAGACCUUUUAUAACGUAAUACCUUUGUAUAAUAGCCUUGAAGUAAGACAUAAGGCAGAUAUUGGAUAGUGGGACUGGAGACCAGGUUUUACAUAGUGGAGAUGAGGCAGUGUUGAGCAAAAGAGAAAUGAAUUUGCCUAACCCUCUCUAGCAUUCAGCACUGUACCUCAGCCUGAAGAAGAUGCAGAAACACAACACUGACCAUUCUAAGCCACUGGAGAUGUGAGAAUUGGCCUAUUUUAGCCAAAAUACCUUUUUGGACUACAGACUAAUGUGAAUACUUGACUAUUUCUACUUGAGUUACAGCAAAUGUUCUGAGAACUUAUUCCAGUCCACCAAAUAAAUCCCAUUUUAGAUGUUGUAGAAAAACAAAAUAAAACACAAUUCCAGUAUG